CUUUAAAAAUCUGGAUCAAGCUGAAAAUUGAAACGACACACAGUCAAUGUGUGUUCGAGUCUCUCAAAUUUUCGCGACACGAAAAUGUUUUACGAAACAUCUUCGG
rnacentral:sRNA from 1 species